rnacentral:rRNA from 1 species
GGGGGCAUUGGUUUACUGUUCCGCGGGGCCGGCGAUUUGGCCUAAAGCUAUGUACGGACUGGACUGGUGGCGACACAGAUUGAGCGCAUGUGCUUCGUCUCGCACGAGCCCCUUUCCCGUUCUUGCUGGGCGAAGAACAAGCUGAGCCACAAUAGCAGCCGGGUUGCUUCCUGUUCCGCCUGGAUCUGCUCAUGCCGAUCCCCGGAGCGACUACGCCGGAGGCGUUGGACUCUGGGUUAGUUAAUCCCUUCCUCUUGGUCAAAAUCUAGAUCUAACGAGCUCGCCCCGGUCGCCGGUGCUGCAGAUCAAUCUUGGUUGCUAGGGAUCCAGUGGUGCACGAGGCGCCGUGCGUUUUGGGCGGGGGCGGCGACGCUGCGCCCGAUUCGGCCGCAGGCUCGUCGGAUUCGGCCGUCUGACCGGUCUCGCCGGGCGUGGGUCAGUUGGAUCAAGGCGUGGCUUGGCCGAUGGCGAGUUUUCCGAGGCGUCCUGCAAGACCUUCAGCUCUGGAGGCGGAGAUGUGGCGUCCGGGUGCGCGACCCCUGCCGUCAUCUCGCACAACUCCGUCCAGUCCAGCGGCCGCAGUGGCGCGGCGGAUUCGUGCACGACAUUCAGUUCUGGGGUCGUGGUCCUGCCGUCGGCACGAGUCGGCGACGAGACGCCGGCCGCCGUCUCGAGUUGCGCCGUGCAGUCCCUACGUCACAGCGGACCGGCUUCGGCUAACACCACCAUCCGCGUUGGCUGGAAGCGCAGGUACAUACUAAUUUUUCUGUCGCCUGGGGCAAAUGUGUAUUUUCUUGAUCGCAUUCAUACGAGCUGAUGAGAGAAGUUUCAUUAGUUUGGUCAAAUUGGGGAUAAAGACUGGCGCUCAAACAUCACUAGCUGAAAAGUUCUUAGUAGUUUUCCUUAAGCCAUACCCGGUCGUUCGUUUGCUGAAAAUUAUCAUUGCCACUGCAGUAAAAAUAAUGGUUUAAGUUCCGUUGACAGAGAAGGAUUAAACUGCUAGUACUGGGAACCAGUUGACUUGUAUGGUUAAGUUACUUUGUCCAAAAUUUUCAUUCUCGCCGCUGAACAUCCGUUUGUAUGUUGGCAUUGUUGAGUGUUCAAACAAUGCAAGGGGAAAGGAUAUACUUAGUACAGUCCAAUUUGUAGAAGUUUGGUCACUUUUUUUGCAUCAGUCUGAAUGUGUGAUAUGGGGGAGAAUAUAGUCUGAAUCAAUCCUGGCGGAAAAAGGUCCUAGAAAUCAUUUUUGUAAUUAUGAACCCGUGUUUGGUUGCAGAAGCACGCGUGCCCCGGCAUUAUGCAUCCCACAACCAAAAGUCGCACGGGCCUCCGUCCUGCGUCAGUUCCAAAACUGAAUGAUGAACAAGAAAACACAACGCAACAGCAGAAAACGGCAACAUCUGAUGGAUGGGUGUUCAAAAAACAGACUUACUCCCUGGUUCAGGCACUUGUAAAAACGGACGCCAGGGUUCCGGUCUGUCCCAGAGACAAACCAUCUAGUCCUUGUCCCGGCACACCUCGGGCACAGGAUCAAUGGCAGCGGGGACGGGGGUGUCCGAAGACGACGAGCGGAAGAUGAGCUCUAGGACAUCGCGGCACGGCGGCGUCGACGGAACGCGGCAACUCGAGGUGCUUGUGUGCGUG